GAUGGACGCUGGCGGCGUGCUUAACACAUGCAAGUCGAACGAAGCACCUUGAUCUGAUUCUUCGGAUGAAGAUCCUGGUGACUGAGUGGCGGACGGGUGAGUAACGCGUGGGUAACCUGCCUCAUAUAGGGGGAUAACAGUUAGAAAUGACUGCUAAUACCGCAUAAGACCACAGUACCGCAUGGUACAGGGGUAAAAACUCCGGUGGUAUGAGAUGGACCCGCGUCUGAUUAGGUAGUUGGUGGGGUAACGGCCUACCAAGCCGACGAUCAGUAGCCGACCUGAGAGGGUGACCGGCCACAUUGGGACUGAGACACGGCCCAAACUCCUACGGGAGGCAGCAGUGGGGAAUAUUGCACAAUGGGGGAAACCCUGAUGCAGCGACGCCGCGUGAGCGAUGAAGUAUUUCGGUAUGUAAAGCUCUAUCAGCAGGGAAGAAAAUGACGGUACCUGACUAAGAAGCACCGGCUAAAUACGUGCCAGCAGCCGCCGUAC
rnacentral:rRNA from 1 species